rnacentral:rRNA from 1 species
AGAGGGAAAGAGAAUGUGGUAGAUGAGGAGUGGGAGGGUCAGGGGAAGCCGGGAAGCAACAUAAAUUACAACAAAAAAAAGAAACUAUGAUAGGAUCCAGUAGUAAUGGCCGGCCAGUGUGCCGGAAUUCGCCAUUAGAGCUUGAUCAUGGCUCAUGGUUGUACCGCUGGCGGCAGUGCGUUACACAUGCAAGUGCGUCAUCGCUAUCGGGGGCGUAUCUUGCUAGUCCGCCCGGCUAGUGCCUUACGUGCUGAGUCAAUGCCUGUGGGAGCUGCCCAUUCUGAGGGGGAUACCAGUUGGAAAGGUCCCCUAAUUCCUGCAUACGCCCUGAGGGGGAAAGGUGGGGAUCUUCGGACCUUCCGCGAUUCGGAUGCACCCAGGUUGGAUUAGCUAGUUGGUGAGGUAACGGCUCACCCAGGGGACGAUCUCUAGUUGGUCUGUGAGGAUGCCCAGCCUCGCUGGAACUGCGACGCGGUCCAGGCUCCUACGGGAGGCAGC